rnacentral:rRNA from 1 species
GAUGAACGCUGGCGGCGUGCCUAAUACAUGCAAGUCGAACGAAACUUCUUUAUCACCGAGUGCUUGCACUCACCGAUAAAGAGUUGAGUGGCGAACGGGUGAGUAACACGUGGGCAACCUGCCCAAAAGAGGGGGAUAACACUUGGAAACAGGUGCUAAUACCGCAUAACCAUAGUUACCGCAUGGUAACUAUGUAAAAGGUGGCUAUACUACCGCUUUUGGAUGGGCCCGCGGCGCAUUAGCUAGUUGGUAGGGUAAAGGCUUACCAAGGCAAUGAUGCGUAGCCGAAUUGAGAGGUUGAUCGGCCACAUUGGGACUGAGACACGGCCCAAACUCCUACGGGAGGCAGCAGUAGGGAAUCUUCCACAAUGGGCGAAAGCCUGAUGGAGCAACGCCGCGUGAGUGAAGAAGGUCUUCGGAUCGUAAAACCCUGUUGUUAGAGAAGAAAGUGCGUGAGAGUAACUGUUCACGUUUCGACGGUAUCUAACCAGAAAGCCACUGCUAACUACGUG